UACUGGCGAUAAAGACCAGUUGGAAGAAACAGGAGACCCUUGAGAAGAGGCAAACGGCGAGACCAACCACCACAUUCACAAUUCCCACCAAAAAAAUGUCGAAAAUCAUCACGAGAGAAGAGGAGAGAAUCACAAAGACCAUCAAGAUUGAGGCGACGGCGGUUGAUGUCGAGAUCACACGAGCUGGAGCAAAGACUGCUCUCAAAACAGCCAUGUUGGAGGCCAAGGAGAAGUACGUUCUGGCAGUCAAGGCCAUGGUUGAAGCCAAUCACGUGUAUCUUCAGCGAUUGGAGGAGUGGAAGACCAACGACAAUCUGGAAGAGUCUUUGAAGUCUUCAGCAAAGGAUUUGGCGUGAUUGGAGACGUUGAGACCAUACAAAGUAGACUGUUCCACGAAAACGGUCAAUAUCUCGAGAAUCCUCGGGAAAUGUGGGAUUUUGACCCAACUGGCGGAUUUCCAGCCUGCUAUUUUACCCCCAGAUGAACUCCACUCACUCAAAUUUCUCCUCUAACCAGCUAUACAGACGCGUGUUGUUCCGCACAUAUAGUUCAUUGUAUUUAUAUCCUUUACACGAGAGCUGGAGUUACGUGGUGGAAGGAUAGAAACCACGGUGAAAGGGAGUCAAUCGACAUCUAGUCAAUUGACAUCCAAGAGUCCCCAAAGAGAUUCGUUGUA
rnacentral:misc_RNA from 1 species